ensembl:rRNA 5S_rRNA 5S ribosomal RNA
GUCUAUGGCCAUAGCACCCUGAACGCAACUGAUCUUGUCUGAUCUCAGAAGCUAAGUAGGGUUGGGCCUGGUUAGUACUUGGAUGGGAGAAAGGGGGUAUGAGUCCCAGUAACAGAGAGA